CAACCGUUGGAUUUGUCCAUAUUUUACCCAGUGCUUGGUUGUAUUUAACACAGCAUUUUUUAGAGUGUAUAAAGAAACAAACUCAUCUACAUCUUGGAUGGGCUGAGGAAUGACGGCCAGGAGGAGGAGCAGAACCAGAACCACCACAGCAAUGACAACUAGAACACACAGAGAAAGAGAGGUUAUAUUAGAGGAUAACCUGUGGGAUGCAGCUGUAAGCCUGCCAUGAAAGCCGACGGGUUGGACCUGAAAGAUGAUGAGGGCCAAAGGCAUUCCACCCUCUCUCUCACUUCUGCCACACAGACCCAGGGCAGAGCAAACCCAGCAGCAAGACAUUUGCUUUCAUCACCUUCCCAGAAGUGGAGCUAAUCUUGCCCAAAGCCGGCUUUUGAAGCGCACUGGUAAUUGUCUCCCGAUAGGAUGGGCAGCAAAACCAGGAGCCAGAAUGAAUUCCAGUCCCUUCAGUUCUUGGGUGGGAAACGCAUUAAGCUGAUAAUUUUCCAGCUUGAAUUAAUGCAAAUUUCUCAUUGUUGCUCUGCCCAGUGCCCAAACUGUAAAUCUGUCCAAAUUUCAGCAAAUUGGAGAACUACCAAAGCAAUGGCAUUUAGCUCUGAUCUUAACAUUUUAUUCAUGGUGACAACCAAUGAUCUGGCUCUCACCGUUAGCCUCACACACACUGGAUAACUAGGUUAAAAGUAGUCCUAAAUAGCCUACUUUUAGACAUGUAAUGUAGCUGAAAUUGAUUUAUUCCCAAAGAACUUUAUCAGUUCUUGAAGAAGACACCAAAAAUACCGCUUCCUCUUGUAGUCUAGAAUCUAUAAUUUUUCAUGCUGAUUCUGCCGCUCUCUUUGAUUUCAAUAAAUGUACCACAAAAGGCCCAUAAUCUCCCUAGGCAGGCUCUAUAGUCCAUUGUCAAAACCGCAGGAAUAGAGGUCCUUGUCUCAUCUCUAAGGUGAUGAAGUGUCAGGGCAGGCCUUCAUGUUUCAUGUAGAGAAUUAACAGCUCCGAUGUCUGUCAGGAAAGCACUCGACUGUGGCCAACUGCCUGUGCCAAACUAAGAGUGAAAACAGCCUCUAAACGCCUCGCUAAACUCGCUCUUAGACACUCCUUUCCUCUCACUCUCUUUCUCUCUCACUCACUUCUCAGAUGAUUGGCUGUUGUUUAUUAUUCAUCAUCCUUUUAAAAGAGCAGCUUAAAAAUGGACAGACACAGGUGCACUUAAACUGAAAGUCUCACUUAGGCAAUCUCUGACACACACACACACAUACGCACACACACAUAUAUAUAUUAGGUAGAGAUAUCAAAAGAUAUCACAGAGAUGUUUAUUUUCAGUGAAAAUCAACCCAGUUGCUUUCUUAUAAUCGCCACUGAAUAUUAUAGUAAAAUAUAUUUAAGAAUUGAACAAAUUACACACUUCAGCUUUAAACCAACUGGUUGUAAAAUGUAAGCCCAAAUCCAACUAUGUGAAGAAGCAUUAAAAGCUAAGCAGCUUCCCCUUAAAUAGCCCAUUGCCAGUAAGGACAUUGACAAUAGAUGAUAACCUGAGGGAGCGGCAGAGAAGCCUCAGCUUAUAAUGAACCUCUAACAAACCAUACAAAUGCUCAGUCCUAGUUAAUCAACAUAUUUUAAUUAGAUACAUUUUUCUGUGGUGCAGCAGUCGCAGUGAGGAAGAAUAAGGCCACCACAUAGUCGAAAGUCUAUGUCGAAUCCUACAAAAAUUCCUAAUGGAUUUCACACUGUUUUACAUAUUUUCUGCUCUUCAGAGGAGGUAAGAAUGAGAAUUCAUUCCCACGGUCCUUUAGUGCAAGGUUGUUCAAGAGAGUCCAGUGAAUGUUGGGGAGUCCUUGUAAAAGUUUAGCCAAAAGUUAAAAAAUAAAAAUUAUAUUUCUUAUUUUUAAAGAACCGGUAGGAUGAAAGCAUGGCAAUUGUGAUACAGUGAUACAGUAUAUUGGAAUUAUCUUUACAAUCAUAAAUCUGAAUACACGAUAAAUAAGAAAUAUAAUUGUCUUUACAUUUUGGCAAAAAUCAUAUUUUGGUCCCAUGAUCUCCUCAUUCCUGUCAUCUCAUAACACUAUGGAAUUAAAAAGUUUGAAGGUUUAAAGUACAACUGACCUGCUGUCUUCACAGUAAUAUGUUUUAUGUAUUAAGCUCAGAAUGACUUGUAACCCCUUAUCAGACUUGAGAUUGUAAAAAGGAAAUAUUGAUUAUCAUGUUAUUUACUAUGUCUGCAAUGCACAGAUCCACAUCAAGAAAGGCCUCAAAACAGCCUUGAGUGAAAGCAUGUAAGCCCAUCAAUAAAUCUCUCAUUUACUGGU